CCUACGGGAGGCAGCAGUGAGGAAUAUUGGUCAAUGGACGAGAGUCUGAACCAGCCAAGUAGCGUGAAGGAUGACUGUCCUAUGGGUUGUAAACUUCUUUUAUAUGGGAAUAAAACGUUCCACGUGUGGGAUUUUGUAUGUACCAUAUGAAUAAGGAUCGGCUAACUCCGUGCCAGCAGCCGCGGUAAUACGGAGGAUCCGAGCGUUAUCCGGAUUUAUUGGGUUUAAAGGGAGCGUAGGUGGAUUGUUAAGUCAGUUGUGAAAGUUUGCGGCUCAACCGUAAAAUUGCAGUUGAAACUGGCAGUCUUGAGUACAGUAGAGGUGGGCGGAAUUCGUGGUGUAGCGGUGAAAUGCUUAGAUAUCACGAAGAACUCCGAUUGCGAAGGCAGUUCACUGGACUGCAACUGACACUGAGGCUCGAAAGUGUGGGUAUCAAACAGGAUUAGAUACCCCCGUAGUC
rnacentral:rRNA from 1 species